UCGUUCCUGUGGAAUCCGGGUUCCGGUUACCGCCCGACCCUAAUUCUUCCUCGGUCAGAGCAAGAAGGGAUUCGAAGCCCCGUCUCUCAAGCAGCCCCGCAAGAAGGCGAUGAUCGUGCGCACUUACGCCCGGAGAGCCGCCCGCUGCGGCGCCGGCCGCACCUCCUCCGACCCCAUCCUCCUCGACUCAUCCGACGCCGACGGGGAACCCGAUUCCGCCGCCGGAGAGCUUCUCGACCUUCCCUUCUCCCAGGACAGCUCCCAUGGCCGCCACGCCCACGCUCACGCUGCAUUCUCCUCUCAAGAUUCCUCCUCCCCUUGGUCCCUGAACCCCUUCGACCUCCCCGACGACCCCCCGACCCUCGCCCCUUCCCUCUUUUCCCCGUCCCUCGGACCGCCGAACGAGCCGCACGGAUCGGACGGUACCAGGACGGGAAGGCGCGGGGCAGAGAGGGAUCUGGCGUCGGCGGUGACGACGGCGACGCUGAUGGAGGCGCAGGAGUUCGGGGAGAUGAUGGAGCACGUCGACGAGGUGAACUUCGCGUUGGAUGGUUUGCGGCCAGGCCAUCCGGUGAGGGUCCAGCGUGCGAGCUUGCUGUCAUUGCUGUCAGCCUGCGAGACUGCGCAGCAAAGGCGACUUCUCCGGGUGCAGGGGAUGGCCAAGAGAAUAAUUGAUGCCAUUUUGGGUCUAAAUUUAGAUGAUUCUCCAAGUACAGUUGCUGCUGCUGCUCUGUUCUACGUCUUGGCAAGUGAUGUUCAAGAUGAUAAUUUGCUGGAUACACCAUCUUGUAUUGGCUUUCUUCUUAAGUUAUUGAAACCAACAGUUCCUUCUGUCAACAGAGACAAAGCCGCAAGUUUUGGAUCUAAACUUCUUGGGAAACGCAAGCCUCAAGUUGUAGGGAGUUCAUAUAAAGGAUUAGAUUCCACUGCGAAGGCCAUCGUUUCAAAAGUUUCAGAAAUUCUUUUAAGUUGUAAAGAGAUAAAAGCAGGCCAUGGGAAUGAUGAAGCAACAGAGAGGCCAGAGCUGAGCCCCAAAUGGAUAGCAUUAUUGACCAUUGAAAAAGCAUGUUUAUCUACUGUAUCAUUUGAAGACACGUGUGAUAUGGUGAAAAUGCCUGGGCGAGAAUUUAAAGAAAAGUUGAGAGAGCUUGGUGGACUUGAUGCAAUCUUUGAUGUUCUUGCUAGUUGCCACUCCACCUUGGAGACAUGGCACAGCUCAUCAUUGUUGUCACAUUCUAAAGAUGAAUCAGUGUUGCAAAGUAUGCUACUUCUCUUAAAAUGUUUGAAAAUUAUGGAGAAUGCAACAUUCUUAAGUAAGGAUAAUCAGAGUCAUUUACUUGAGAUGAAACACAAGUCGAACUAUGGUGGCGUACAACUUUCUUUUGUUGGGGUCAUCAUCAGUGCCAUUAAGUUAUUUUCAGAAUUUUCUUUGCUCCAGGGUAAAUUCAGCAUUUCAAACAAAGAGAAGUUAAUUUCUGAAUAUCAGAGUCUUCAAGUGAACCAAGAACUGAAAGAUAACAGUGAUGAGCCACCAGAUAGUUAUUAUGCUGGGUGUUCUGGUGUUGACAGGGAGUCUGAAGUGAACAUCAUAAAGAUAUGUCAUAAACGACAGAAAUCAUCUUAUACCCAAUUAGAAGUUUCUCAUUCUGGUUCAGAAAUGGCAAUUGAUUUUUCCGCCUCUGUUUCAUAUGAUGUAAUUAAUAGAUCUAUCGGAGGUGGCUGUAUGAAUGGUAAUACUUUGAAGGCAAAAGUUAAUUCUAGUGGUUCGAAGAUGAAUUCUUUUAGGAUUUCAAAUCGAUGGAUCUCUAUAAAAUCCAAUGGUGCAACAAUGAGCUCUGAUAGCAUGUCUAGAAGACCUCAUAUGCCAAAAGAUGAUAAAGGCAAUUGUGAAAUGGACAUAAAUGAUCCUUUUGCAUUUGAUGAAGGUGACUUAAAACCUUCCAAAUGGGAAUUGUUGGCAAAGAAGAAAACGAAAACUCAGGAUCAUGAAGGUGAUUUACCAAAUAAAGAACUUUUGGAUGGGUGUGAACUCCCAAUAAUUACUACAGAUGAUGUUUUGAGUCAAUUAACAAAUGAAGAAAAUCACAAGAAUUGUGCAAAGUCUCAUCCAUCAGGAAUUGAUGAAGAUUCAAGCCUUGCGGAAGACUGUCUCCUCACUUCAGUGAAGGUUCUGAUGAACUUAACAAAUGACAACUCUGUAGGGUGUCAGCAAAUUGCUGCAUGUGGUGGACUGCAUACUAUGGUUUCUUUAAUAGUUAGCCAUUUUCCAUCAUUUGACUGUUCGUUUCAAACAAACAGCAAAGUGAACGAGAGCACCUUAUCUACCAACCAACAUAACAGUAACUGUCAUCUGAACAACAGACAUCUCAGUGAUCAUGAAUUGGAUUUAUUGGUAGCUAUAUUGGGCUUGCUUGUGAACCUAGUGGAGAAGGAUAGUCAAAACAGAUCACGUCUUGCAGCAGCUCGUGUUUCAGUAAGUCGACCAGGAAAAUCAGUAAACGUGGAGCCACAAAGGGAUGCAAUUCCAUUGUUGUGCUCCAUAUUUAUGGAAAAUCAAGGAAAUGGGGAGGCUAAAGACGAAAAACCUUCUCUAUGUGAUGAUGAAGAGUCAUUGUUGGAAGGAGCACGGGAGGCUGAAAUGAUGAUCAUUGAAGCUUAUGCAGCUCUUUUGCUCGGGUUUCUGUCAACAGAAAGUUCUAAACUUCGCCAAGCUAUUGCCAACUGCCUUCCAAAUCGGAACUUGCAUGCUCUAGUUCCUGUUCUAGAAAGAUUUGUGGCAUUUCAUGUGUCGCUAAACAUGAUAUCACCGGACACUCAUUCAGCAGUUGUCAAAGUAAUCGAAUCUUGUAGAAGACCAUAGAUGAACGAUACUGUACAGUAACUAUUGGUCUCUAGUAGGAUGAGGAAGAGUCUUGGGGAAGCUGCUCUCUGCUUUCGGCUCUCUCAGUCCUCUCCUUGUGUGAAAUAUCCUCUCCUUCGCUUCAUGUCUGCCAUUGGUGUCUCUCUCUCGUCACACACCUGCGAUGAAUGAGAGGGCACGGCAGUGACGAUAUUGUCCUCACCCAUGGCCUUUGCAUGCAAGGGACUGGAUCUUUGUGUAUUUGUCUUAGCCCCAAGUCUAAACUUAGCAUGUAUGUUUAUGCUGUUAACUUCAAUUGAUCUUGGUUUCAUCAUUAAUCUAAGCACACACCACGUUUAUUUGAUAUUAGUUCUCUUUAAGAGCCUGUUAAAACUAUUAUUAUGAUGGGUAUUAGAAAUGUAAGUGCUGUAUAUUUAUAUAUUAAAAUUUAUGUGAUGAUGUAUAUUAAAAUUUGUGUGAUGA